rnacentral:rRNA from 1 species
AUGCACUUUUAUUUCUGCUGUUCCUCAAAGCUCCAGGGUGCGUCAGUUUCCAUAAUGUUUGAACAACCCAUCAACUUUCUGAGCUGGAACGUUAGGGGCUUGAACUGCCCGGAUCGACGCUCUACGGUGAACGCCACGAUCGCCUCCUCGUCGUGCCAUGUGGUGUGCCUACAAGAGACAAAACUCGGCAACAUCGACCGAUUCACCGCAGCUUCUCUGGGUGGCCAGAGGCUACGUAGUUUUGCGCAAAGACCGGCAAACGGCACUAGGGGAGGAAUCUUGCUGCUCUGGGAUGAUCGUCUUGUUGAGGUUUCCUGCAUCACGUACACAGCAUACUGUCUUUCCGCCAUGAUCAGUGUGCGAGGGACCGGUUUACGCUUCAAGAUCACAUCCGUCUACGGCCCCACAGACCCCUCCUGUAAAGACGCUUUCUUCGCCGAGCUACUCAGCCAGAAGCCUACGACUGGGGUGGCAUGGCUCGCCACUGGUGAUUUCAACCAAAUCUACCGGGCCAGAGACAAAAACAAAAGAAAUGUCAACCGAAGCAGGAUCAACCGUUUUAGAGCAAUGCUACAAAGUUGUGAGCUCAAAGAAAUACACCUCCAAAAUCGGCGUUUCACUUGGAGCAAUGAGAGGGAAAACCCAACUUUGUGCAAGUUAGACUCGUUCUUUUGCAACGCCGAGUGGGACGCAUCCUUCAACACCCACGUCCUUCAUGCUCUCUCCUCUUCCCUCUCCGACCAUUGUCCGCUACUACUUGCCGAUGAUAAGGGACCAAGGAAGCCUCGGGUCUUUAAAUUCGAAAACUUCUGGGCAUCCAUACCCAGGUUCCAUGAGUUGGUCCAAAGGGCGUGGAACGAGAGGGUGGAUCACACUGAACCAUAUCAAAUCCUAUACUACAAGCUCAAGAAGACGGCUCUCCGCCUCGCAGAAUGGAGUAGGAGACUUUUCUCAAAGGCAAAAAUUCACCACCAUGCCGCUCUUCUGGUGAUCCUUUGCCUCGACAUCGCCCAAGAGGACAGGCUCCUCUCCACCGAGGAGCUCGACCUUCGGUCCAGGCUUAAGAGAAGGGUCAUCGCCUUGGCUGUGCUAGAAAGAUCGCGCAAGAAACAAUGUGCAAGAAUUUCAAAUCUUAAAGAAGGGGACGCCAAUACAAAAUUCUUCCAUCGCCGAGUCACCUCUAGGAGGAGAAAAAACCAUAUUCACAGGAUCAAGAAUGAUCAUGGUUGGGUCACCGAGCACGGUGCCAAAGAGAAACUAAUCCAAGACCACUUCUCCAAUGUCCUAAAGAGAGGCCCCCUGAGCCGCAAAGAUUUCAACUGGGACGAGCUAAACCUGGAACCUCUUGAUUUGCACAACCUUGACUCCCCGAUAGUCGAGAGUGAGGUCCUCGAAGCAAUCAAUGACCUACCCAGUGACAAGGCUCCGGGUCCAGAUGGCUUCACGGGCCUCUUUUUCAAGAAGUGUUGGGAUAUCGUUAAGCCGGACCUCAUGCGGGUCAUGAAUCAUUUUGACUCCCUUCACACCGCGAAUCUACAGUGGCUCAACUCCGCGAAUGUGGUGCUCCUGCCUAAAAAGGAAGGGGCGGAGGGGAUCGCCGACUAUAGGCCCAUUAGCCUCAUCCACGCGGUCGCGAAAAUUAUUGCGAAGGUGCUCUCCACUCGGCUGGGCCCCCACAUGACAAGCCUCGUCUCCAACGCCCAAAGCGCCUUCAUUAAAACAAGAAACAUCCAUGACAACUUCUUGUAUGUUCGCAAUCGCGCUCGGCGCUUGCACAAGAGCAAGACCCCGUCCCUUCUUUUCAAGCUUGAUAUUCGCAAGGCCUUUGACACCGUCAAGUGGGAGUAUUUGCUUGAUCUUCUCCAACGGCGAGGGUUCCCUCCCAAAUUCAGGGAUUGGAUCGCUGCCCUCCUUUGCUCUUCAUCUUCGAGGAUCAUCCUCAAUGGUAUUGCCGGUGGU